AGGGGGUUUUACGUUCAUAAUGGUAGUAAUAUGAUUAAUUGCCCCUAGGAUGGAUGAAACACCUGCCCAGUGGAGUGAGAAAAUAGUGAGAUCUGCAGAGGCGCCUGCGUGUGCAAGCUUCCCAGCUAGUGAGGGAUAUACUGCUCAACCGGUUCCUGGGCCUGCUUCAACUAUAGAGGAGGCAAGAAGGAGAAGAAAUGUUGGAGAGCUGCAACAGUGAGACACCUUCAGUCCUCAGACGUUCAAGACCUGUAGCUUCUUGAUAGUGCACCAAAGAUGCCAGUGUGGGAGUGGACUGAAGCCAUCCAGCUCCUAGGGAAACAAUUUCCUGGACAUCUUUCCCUGUGGGCACAGACAGACCCAUUGCACCAGUUAUCCAAUAUUUUAUGUAGCAGAUUUAUCCAGCCAAAUUCCUUCUGAUUGUUAGUGAGGGCUCCAGUUUCUUGCUGUUCCAACUUGUGCUAUGAAGGAGAGUCUUGCAAAGAAAUCUUGAAAAAUGGUGCAAAUCCACAGGUGGAAUAAUUCUUGGCAUUAGCCGUGGCUUCCGAGUGGUACAACUGGUCCUCCUAACCCAUCCAGUCCACUACUGCCACCUCAAACUCUCUUCAGAGAAAUGGGAUCCUUCUGCUGUUCUGCUGGCACUACAAAACACCAGGCAUGACUUCUACCACCCACCCCAGGCUUCGGGGAUCAGUCUCUUUGCUGUGAAAGGCCCUGACUAUGGAGUACCCUCUGCUCCCAUACCCACAGUGUGGCCCAGCUCCUUCUCAGGGGUUCCCAGCCCCGCCUCUUCCUCCAACAAUUUGGUGAUGAUGUUCCUGCUCCACCUCUCCUUGAUGAGACCCUGUAGACAGCAUGUGUGGCAGCUAGCAGUGAGAACCAGGCCCUGCUUGGACUGUUUUUCAGAUUGUUUCUGCCCUUGUGACCUUCAGUUUCCCAAUAAUCAUACAGACCCUGUGUCUGAUAUUUCUACCCUGGGAUGACAGUAUAUGACACCAAGGACCCAGGAUAAAGCCUAGAAAUUCCCAUUUCCCACCUCCAACCCUGUCCUGCGAUGACCAUGAUAGGACAUCAAACUCACCAUCUCCAACUAGCUGCUCCUACCUCAGGUUCUAAUUCCUCCAAACUCAGGAGGAAGGUGUGCAGGGGUACUCAUGAUGGUAUCUGUUCUGUGUAUUGCUGCGCCCCUCCCCUGACUCAGGCAAUGGCAAGGCCCUACUGAGGUGGAUGGAGCAAGGCGUCCAUCCUCUGGAGGAGCGCAGUAUGUUUCUGGGAAUGGGCUGAUUUGUUUUUGUAUUCCUUUAAUAAGUAUGGUUUGGAUUUCUCAUAUGACCAUUAAGUAUAAAGGAAAAAUCAUGACUUUCCCAAUUAAUGUAACUACUUCUAAAGCAUAGAUCUGUUUGCUCUAAAUGCAAUGAUUCAGCUGUGGAGUGUAAAUUGUUAAUGUCUACAGAAAAACUCCCUGUAUUCCUGUCAAGGAAGUUUUUGAGAAAUUAAAUUAAAAUCUAGAGAAGAAAAAUUAAUGUUAAGAAGAUAGAUUAGUGCUUAGUACUGGGCAACUUGUUCUUGUUCCUGUGCACAAUGGUUUGUGCUCUUACUUUUGUUUGAUUAAAAAUAAUAACAAGUCAACCCCUUGCCGUAACCAUGGCACCGGUUCCAGUCAGUAAGUCAAGAAAGAAUAGUCAAGGUAUAGGCCAAUAGUUUGGGACAUUUGUAACUAUUAUUAAAAGUUAACUAAGCAGAAACUGCUCAAAGCAAAACGCGAACUGAAAGUACAAAUGCUUGCUUAUGCAUAAGCCAAGAUACAUUCUUCUAUUCUAAUUGUAGCUAUGUAAUAUUUUGUUUUGUUUGAAUAAUGAUUCCUGUUUUGUAACCACAAAGUACUGUAAGCCUGCCAAAAUGAAAAGUAUAUAUGAUCAACUUCACAAGUAAAGAUUGGGAUCAACACCUUCACUUUGGUGUCUGUGUUGUUUCUCCACCCCCUCUUU
ensembl:lincRNA